AGAACAAAAAGCCGUGCAGAACAAACAGCUGUGCAGAACAAACAGCCGUGCAGCUCGUUGGCCACCUUCUGGGAACUGAGAAGGGCUGUGCCUGGGAGUUGGAUCCGCCCGCCCUUUGUCAUGAGGUCUGCAGCAAGGCUUUCUAUGGCUCCAGCCAGCUCCCCAUGGAGCCAGCAGAUGCCAUCAGUCCUUUGUUCAGCCUCACACACAGCCCCGCAGCGAGUCUGGUUUGCAGGUAACAGCUUGGAAAGGUGCUGUUAAAGACGCUGAAGAAUAUUUGGAAGAGAGAAUAGCAUAUUCGCCCACGUCCCACCACCCUCAUCCUCACCUUCCUUUCUGCCUUCUCCAUUCUGGCUGGGAACCCAGGCAGAUAUUUUGGCCUGGUUGCCAAAAGAGAAUGCAGACACCACCUUGGACUGGGCUCUCUGCCUUUCUGGGCUUUUCUUGGUCACAAGCAUUUUGCCAUGGGGCUGUGUGGUCUUCAUACUGACCAUCUGAACGGAGGCAUCAGAGUCCUUUGGGAACCCCCUCAUUUUCAAAUGUUAGCUGAUAAGCGUGUUUCCAGUUGGGGGCUAUUAUAAACAGCUUGGCAGCAGUCAUUCGUAUGAUUAAAAACUAUUCAUUAAAUUUCUUAGAGAAGCACAGUGAAAUACAUGGAGGGGG